UUUUUCAAUAUUUUUCUUUUUUUUCUUUUUUCUUCUUCUUUUAUUUUUAUAUUAUUAUAAAAAAAAAAGAAAAAAAAAAAAUGGAAAAAAAGGAAAUGAAAAAAGCGCCAGUGAAAUACCACUACUCCUGAUCUUGUCUUACUUACUCCGUUAGGCCGAAAUAAGAAACGGAGUGAAAAAAACUCUAUGUUUCUUUUUCUU
rnacentral:ribozyme from 1 species